GUUGGCAGGAAGUAAGCCUAGAGCCCCCUGGGAGUCACCCACUGGGGAAAUUCUGCCUGAGAUGAAGCUAAUCCUGAAAAUCAGAGCUGAGAAGAUGGAGCAGGUGUCAGCUCACAGCUCACCUCCUCAGAUCCCUCAGCCCUGCUCCUCCUACUCGAGACAACAGGUUGGAAACAACAGUAGAGAAUCCUGGUGACCCUGCAGAGGGUGAGUUGGAGAGAGGCCACAGUGCGGACUCGGGGAGGCUGAAUAAGGAACUCCAUCUGUUCAGGAGUUCUCUUGCCAUCAUUCAUCAGCAUGGUCUCCCAUCCUGCUGUGGAUGGACUUUUUCCAGGCAGCAGAGCACAUGACCACAGGCCUCCCAGCUGGUAACCAGAAAGGAAAGGGAUGGGGUGAUCCAACUCCCUGUUGCCACUUGAAAAAUCCUGGGAAAGGGCUUUGAUGGGCUUGGCUUGGGUCAGGUACACACCCUGGUCAGAAAAGGGCACCGUGGCCAGGACCCAGUACCUGCUUGUACUCCAGGUGGUGGGGGAAACUGGGGGCCCUCAUGAAGGCCGUGAGGAUCAGUUACACAGGGAAAGCAGGAGGAGGAGUGGAGCCAAGGAAAUAAAGAUGAUUCAGCAUUUGCUAACUACAGUGACUAGGUGAAAGUGAGGUCAUUAACUAAAAGGGAGAAUACAGGAAGAAAAGUCUGGAGUGUUCUAUUAUGAACUUGAAAUCGGAAGACUUGGGGGCAUCUAAGAGGAAAAACUUCAUAGAUUAUUGGAAAUAUAGUUCUGGAGCUCGGAACAGUGUUGGCAGUCCCAGCCACCUGAUGAAGUCAUGGGCGUGCCAACUCCAUACCAGAAAGGUGGAAGGUGCCACCUUGUCUGGCAGCCUAGAAGCAGAGGCCUCUCCUUGUAAGGAGGCCCCUUGGUGAGGGAGACGUUGGCUCAUUACAAGGAAGGAGAGGUUGGAAGUCAUUAGAGGCGUGCUAUCACAUUUCUGUUUAAUGCCUCAGCAUCCAGUGACUCAGCAGGGCCGCUCCUGCCACUUAUUCCAAAGCACUGGGAGUUGUUGGGCAAAUAUUUGAAUAGCAUUCAGGUCCUAAACCUGCAAUGCCCUGACUUCUCCCCCACCCUCUCUGUUGCAGAACCUCCUGCCUCUGUGUAGACACCCUCUCAGAUUCUUUAAACCCAGCUACAGCAGGGGCCAUUGAACCACUCAAAGCUCAAGUCUUUGAGCUUCCACAAACAGCCCCCUACCAAGGAAGAUGUCACUGAGGG